CCAGGUAUUUUCUGUGCUGUCCCUCUCUACCUAAUAAUUUGGCCGCUGUCAUUCGCAACUAUCGCGAGACGUUGCGCACAUAACGCGAGACUAAUUGCGCCAAGAUCUUUAAAUAUGGCCGCGCGCACGCUCCCAUUCAUUCGUGUGUUGUGUCGGUCCCGGGUGUGACUGAGCGGCUGCAGAUGCCUCUUACCUUCUCGACGAAGUGCUGUCGUGAUCGUUUGAGCGUAAACUAAGUGGAACUGGCCAGGUUCCGAAACUGAACUCUCCGAAACGGAACUCUCUGAAACGGAACUCUCUGAAACGGAACUCUCUGAAACGGAACUCUCUGAAACGGAACUCUCUGAAACGGAACUCUCCGCAACUGGAUUUUCAGACACUGGAUGGCGAGCUAAGGCCUAGAGCCCAAAUCAAACUAAGUGCAAGCAUCUGCCUGUGCGGUAGGAGGCGUAGCAGCCGCUCAACCCACACACACACACUCACACACCCACUGCCCCCUGCUGUGGGCAUUGGGCUCCUCAUAAACUUUGUUGGAAAUCACCCAUUCACCAUAACCAUCUCCGGAACUAUUUUUUUUCCUUUCACAUGAUCUCCGUGUGGAAUACAUAACAUCUUGCUGCUGCUUAUUAUCAAUCGGACUAUGGACUAAAACUCAUUGAACUCUCCAUAGCCUCUGAACUGAAUCACAUAACUGUGCACUCCUGUAAAUAUUGUAUAUAUUGUCUGUUAUACACUGUAAAUAAUAAUAUCACAGAUAAGUACUACCACCUUGUGUACGUGUCUUAUUAAACACCUC